AAAAUAUCUGGCAAACAGAAGUGAGAAAACCACUUACACUAAAAAUCUUGCAUUCCCAAUUCUUCAGCAAGCCUUCAGCUGCAGCUCCGCUCAUCAGCGGGGAUCUGGAAUUUGGAGAGUCGAAAAAUAGAUGCUCCAAAAAAAGUGCUGCGAGCAAAGCUGCCAGGCCUAUUUCCUGUCAUCAGAAAGCAACCCCCGGCUCUUCCGAGCUCAGCCCAGAAGCUGACGCAGUGCCAGCGGAGCUGCUGCCGUGGUCAGCCCCAAAACGUGCUGAAAUUCCACGUAGGGAAGGAGACAUUACCAGCAACUAUUUACGCUCACAGAAGCCUAUGAAGCAUUUCAGUGUUUAAACCAGGCUGGGCAGAGGAGCUAUGCUUCCAUCACGUGUGCAAUCUGUGAUUUUUCCCUUCCUGUGUGCCAGGCAUGGCUCAUACAGAAAGAGGGACUUUGCAUCAGAGCUGUGAGGGCAGCGCUGCUGCUUGCUGGGUGCUGGAGCAGGCUGUGGGGCCGGCCGUGUUGGCACAGGUAGGCUGGGCUUUUCAGUCGUUUGUCAUUGUCUCCAUGCCGUGCUCCCUUGGGCUGCUGAUUUCUGUGGUCUUCCUUCAGCCACUGGUUCCCACAGUCUCAGCAUUUUUGUAAUGCAGAUGAGCGUCUUCCUUGAACUGCACAGUACUUGGAAAGCUCUGAGAAACGUUCAUCUCCUGAGGGCAGGAAAUUCCCAAAGCCCCCCUGUUAGCGGCCUACGAUCAAAUCCUGGCAGGCUCUUUGGCCCUCUGUCCCGCUUUCUCUCGCUCACCUGACAUCUACCCAUGCUUCCUAUUGGUGCUGCAGCAGCUGAAAGACAUCUGGUCAGUGUCAGCAGUUAUAUGCCUUUUUUCUUCCUACUGUGCCUCAUUAACGUAUGCUCACUAACUCAAUUCUGUUUUGAAAAGAAAUAUAUGAGAAAUUAACUGGUAAGGCAUCAGCGGCUGCCAGAACUCCAGGGGAAAAGAAAUCCAUGAGCUAAUGGAGUUAGCAGCAAUGCAAACCUGGACACGACUACAAAUUGCUUCAGCACAUGUGAUCCUGAAAACAGAGGGUCAAAGGAGCUGUGUCCCGUUUCCUGCAGCACUUGCUUGGCUCAGCACUGAGUGUGUGCUGAGAUCCGGUGCUGCACACUGGGCACAGGGAGAGCUCUUUUUUGGUUGACUCUUCUGGACUGUCUUCCCGAGGCAGAAGCUGGAAACCACCACGACCUCAGGGUUUCAGCACACAGAGAUGCUGUAAAUCCCAGUGAAUGAGGCCCAGCGUGGAGCGGUUAUUUUCAAGGGCACUGCUACCAAUCUAUCCAGAGAGAGAGCUGGUCUCUGGGCAUCACUAAGAGGACUUGGAUAACACAGCAGGAGCAGGACAGAGAUGUACAGGAGUCAUUUAAAAAUAGAAAAAUAUAAUUUAAAAACAAACUCUUCUGGAUGUAACUUGAAAAAUAAGCAAGUAGAAAAUAUGAAACGAAUGCAAAGGGCUCCAGGUUUCUCGUUCUUCAAAAGUGGUGAUGGUUCAGGUGGGUGAUGAGCAGCUACAGAAGUAAACUAUUAAAUCAAAGAAAAAAAGAGUAUGUAUGUACAUAUGUAUGCACUUUGAAAGACGCUGAAUUAUAAAUGCUUCUGAAUCAUAAAAAUACAGAGCUUGUCAGUGGUUUCUGUCGAAGAUUGAACAUCUGAUUUCAUUUGUUCACAGCACAGCCUGUAUGAGUUAUCACAUCAAAAUCAGACAGAAGGGAGAAAGACACCACGAUAUCCUGUAGGCUUAAAAAAUAUAAAAUAAAAACGAAC
ensembl:lncRNA